rnacentral:rRNA from 1 species
ACGUAGGGCGCAAGCGUUGUCCGGAAUUAUUGGGCGUAAAGAGCUCGUAGGCGGUUUGUCGCGUCUGCUGUGAAAGCCCGGGGCUCAACCCCGGGUCUGCAGUGGGUACGGGCAGACUAGAGUGCAGUAGGGGAGACUGGAAUUCCUGGCGUAGGCGGUGAAAUGGCGACAGAGUAUCAGGAGGAA